rnacentral:rRNA from 1 species
GACGAACGCUGGCGGCACGCUUAACACAUGCAAGUCGAACGGAGAAUUUUGGAUUUAUUCGAAAUUCUUAGUGGCGGACGGGUGAGUAACACGUGAGCAACCUACCUUGAAGAGAGGGAUAGCUUCUGGAAACGGAUGGUAAUACCUCAUAACAUAUCUGAAAGGCAUCUUUUGGAUAUCAAAGAUUUAUCACUUUGAGAUGGGCUCGCGUCUGAUUAGCUAGAUGGUGAGGUAACGGCCCACCAUGGCGACGAUCAGUAGCCGGACUGAGAGGUUGAACGGCCACAUUGGGACUGAGACACGGCCCAGACUCCUACGGGAGGCAGCAGUGGGGAAUAUUGCACAAUGGGGGAAACCCUGAUGCAGCGAUGCCGCGUGGAGGAAGAAGGUUUUCGGAUUGUAAACUCCUGUCUUAAAGGACGAUAAUGACGGUACUUUAGGAGGAAGCUCCGGCUAACUACGUGCCAGCAGCCGCGGUAAUACGUAGGGAGCGAGCGUUGUCCGGAAUUACUGGGUGUAAAGGGAGCGUAGGCGGGAACGCAAGUCAGAUGUGAAAUGCAUGGGCUUAACCCAUGAGCUGCAUUUGAAACUGCGAUUCUUGAGUGAAGUAGAGGUAAGCGGAAUUCCUGGUGUAGCGGUGAAAUGCGUAGAUAUCAGGAGGAACACCGGUGGCGAAGGCGGCUUACUGGGCUUUUACUGACGCUGAGGCUCGAAAGCGUGGGGAGCAAACA